rnacentral:rRNA from 1 species
CCUACGGGAGGCAGCAGUGGGGAAUAUUGCACAAUGGGCGGAAGCCUGAUGCAGCAACGCCGCGUGAGGGAUGACGGCCUUCGGGUUGUAAACCUCUUUUAGCAGGGAAGAAGCGAGAGUGACGGUACCUGCAGAAAAAGCGCCGGCUAACUACGUGCCAGCAGCCGCGGUAAUACGUAGGGCGCAAGCGUUAUCCGGAAUUAUUGGGCGUAAAGAGCUCGUAGGCGGUUUGUCGCGUCUGCUGUGAAAUCCCGAGGCUCAACCUCGGGCCUGCAGUGGGUACGGGCAGACUAGAGUGCGGUAGGGGAGAUUGGAAUUCCUGGUGUAGCGGUGGAAUGCGCAGAUAUCAGGAGGAACACCGAUGGCGAAGGCAGAUCUCUGGGCCGUAACUGACGCUGAGGAGCGAAAGGGUGGGGAGCAAACAGGCUUAGAUACCCUGGUAGUCCACCCCGUAAACGUUGGGAACUAGUUGUGGGGACCAUUCCACGGUUUCCGUGACGCAGCUAACGCAUUAAGUUCCCCGCCUGGGGAGUACGGCCGCAAGGCUAAAACUCAAAGGAAUUGACGGGGACCCGCACAAGCGGCGGAGCAUGCGGAUUAAUUCGAUGCAACGCGAAGAACCUUACCAAGGCUUGACAUACACCAGAACACCGUAGAAAUACGGGACUCUUUGGACACUGGUGAACAGGUGGUGCAUGGUUGUCGUCAGCUCGUGUCGUGAGAUGUUGGGUUAAGUCCCGCAACGAGCGCAACCCUCGUUCUAUGUUGCCAGCACGUAAUGGUGGGAACUCAUGGGAUACUGCCGGGGUCAACUCGGAGGAAGGUGGGGAUGACGUCAAAUCAUCAUGCCCCUUAUGUCUUGGGCUUCACGCAUGCUACAAUGGCCGGUACAAAGGGCUGCAAUACCGUGAGGUGGAGCGAAUCCCAAAAAGCCGGUCCCAGUUCGGAUUGAGGUCUGCAACUCGACCUCAUGAAGUCGGAGUCGCUAGUAAUCGCAGAUCAGCAACGCUGCGGUGAAUACGUUCCCGGGUCUUGUACACACCGCCCGUCAAGUCAUGAAAGUCGGUAACACCUGAAGCCGGUGGCCCAACCCUUGUGGAGGAG